GUGAAUAUAGUUUAAUAAAAACCUUAGAUUGUGACUCUAAAAACAGGAAAUUCCCCUCCCCCUUAUUCACC
rnacentral:tRNA from 1 species